rnacentral:rRNA from 1 species
UAGUCGUACGAGUUCAGACUCGUGGCGAAUAGCUCAGUAACACGUGGCCAAACUACCCUUCGGAACACAAUACCCUCGGGAAACUGAGGCUAAUAGUGUAUAUCAUACCACCACUGGAAUGAGUGGUAUGUCAAACGCUCCGGCGCCGAAGGAUGUGGCUGCGGCCGAUUAGGUAGACGGUGGGGUAAUGGCCCACCGUGCCAAUAAUUGGUACGGGUCAUGAGAGUGAGAACCCGGAGACGGAAUCUGAGACAAGAUUCCGGGCCCUACGGGGCGCAGCAGGCGCGAAACCUUUACACUGCACGACAGUGCGAUAGGGGGAUCCCAAGUGCACAGGCAUAGCGCCUGUGCUUUUCGGUACCCUAAGGCGGUACCAGAAUAAGGGCUGGGCAAGACCGGUGCCAGCCGCCGCGGUAAUACCGGCAGCCCAAGUGAUGGCCGAUCUUAUUGGGCCUAAAGCGUCCGUAGCUGGCCGCGCAAGUCCAUCGGGAAAUCCACCUGCUCAACAGGUGGGCGCCCGGUAGAAACUGCGUGGCUUGGGACCGGAAGGCGCGACGGGUACGUCCGGGGUAGGAGUGAAAUCCCGUAAUCCUGGACGGACCGCCGAUGGCGAAAGCACGUCGCGAGGACGGAUCCGACAGUGAGGGACGAAAGCCAGGGUCUCGAACCGGAUUAGAUACCCGGGUAGUCCUGGCCGUAAACAAUGUCUGCUAGGUGUGGCUCCCACUACGAGUGGGUGCUGUGCCGUAGGAAGCCGCUAAGCAGACCGCCUGGGAAGUACGUCCGCAAGGAUG